rnacentral:tRNA from 1 species
GGGCCGUUAGCUCAGUCGGUAGAGCAGAAGACUUUUAAUCUUUUGGUCAAUGGUUCGAAUCCAUUACGGCCCACCA